rnacentral:rRNA from 1 species
GACGAACGCUGGCGGCGUGCUUAACACAUGCAAGUCGAACGGAAAGGCCCCUUUGGGGGUACUCGAGUGGCGCACGGGUGAGUAACACGUGAGUAACCUGCCCUUGACUUCGGGAUAACUUCAGGAAACUGGGGCUAAUACCGGAUAGGAAUCCUUGCUGCAUGGUGGGGGUUGGAAAGCUUCGGCGGUUUUGGAUGGACUCGCGGCUUAUCAGCUUGUUGGUGGGGUAGUGGCUUACCAAGGCUUUGACGGGUAGCCGGCCUGAGAGGGCGACCGGCCACAUUGGGACUGAGAUACGGCCCAGACUCCUACGGGAGGCAGCAGUGGGGAAUAUUGCACAAUGGGCGGAAGCCUGAUGCAGCAACGCCGCGGGCGGGAUGACGGCCUUAGGGUUGUAAACCGCUUUCAGCAGGGGCGAAGCUUGUGGUGACGGUACCUGCAGAAGAAGCACCGGCUAACUACGUG